UCUCCGUUGGUGAACCAGCGGAGGGAUCAUUACCGAGUUUACAACUCCCAAACCCAAUGUGAACGUUACCAAACUGUUGCCUCGGCGGGGUCACGCCCCGGGUGCGUCGCAGCCCCGGAACCAGGCGCCCGCCGGAGGAACCAACCAAACUCUUUCUGUAGUCCCCUCGCGGACGUUAUUUCUUACAGCUCUGAGCAAAAAUUCAAGAUGAAUCAAAACUUUCAACAACGGAUCUCUUGGUUCUG
rnacentral:misc_RNA from 1 species